UUUGUUUGUUAAGAACUCAGUGCCUAUUAUUGCAAUACUACCACUAAAACAACCAUCAGAGGCUACAUACCUGACGCACUAAUAAAUAUCUGGUUUCCCAUCAAUCCAGUCUAAGCUGUACAAGUUAAAUAUUUUUAAACCCCCAAGUUAACUAUGUAAUUUAAUUGGGGACAAGCCCAAUUAAUUAAAUUAUCACAAUAAACUACUCUCAUACAAGUAGGCCCAAAACCAGCCACCAACCCACCCCGUUAUAGAACACACACAAAAAAAAUUAUAAAACAUGAUAUAUACACAAUGAGAUAAAUUCUUCAACAAAAAGAAAACCCCCCAUGCAAAGACUAGUAUUUUUAUCAACAACAAAACUAUAAACCACAAAUAUAGAAAAGGAACUCGGCAAAUAAAUAUUUCGCCUGUUUAACAAAAACACCGCCUAUAGAUCUACUAAAUUAUAGGUCCAUCCUGCCCAGUGAUUAAAUUCAACGGCCGCGGUACCCUGACCGUGCAAAGGUAGCAUAAUCAUUUGCCUUUUAAUUGAAGGCUAGUAUGAAUGGAUAAACGAAAUUAUAUCUGUCUCCUCUAUAUCCCUAAAAACUUACCCUCAGGUGAAGAGGCCUGAAUUCAUAUAAAAGACAAGAAGACCCUGUCGAGCUUUAAUUUAAUAUAAGAAUAAAUCCAAUCCUCUACCCUUAUAUAAUUAUUUGUUGGGGCGACAAUGGAAUAAAUUAAUCUUCCAAUACAAAAAAGAUAACACAUCUCCCUAAAGAUCCUAAAACAGAUCCCAGAAACUAGCUACCGCAGGGAUAACAGACUAAUCCCCUUCAAGAGCCCAAAUCUACAAGGGGGCUUGGCACCUCGAUGUUGGCUUAAGAUAUCCCCUGAGCGCAGAAACCCAGGCCAGUGGGUUUGUUCAACCCUUAAAAUCUUACAUGAGCUGAGUUCAGAC
rnacentral:rRNA from 1 species